rnacentral:rRNA from 1 species
GAUGAACGCUGGCGGCGUGCCUAAUACAUGCAAGUCGAGCGAACGGACGAGAAGCUUGCUUCUCUGAUGUUAGCGGCGGACGGGUGAGUAACACGUGGAUAACCUACCUAUAAGACUGGGAUAACUUCGGGAAACCGUAGCUAAUACCGGAUAAUAUUUUGAACCGCAUGGUUCAAAAGUGAAAGACGGUCUUGCUGUCACUUAUAGAUGGAUCCGCGCUGCAUUAGCUAGUUGGUAAGGUAACGGCUUACCAAGGCAACGAUGCAUAGCCGACCUGAGAGGGUGAUCGGCCACACGGGAACUGAGACACGGUCCAGACGCCUACGGGAGGCAGCAGUAGGGAAUCUUCCGCAAUGGGCGAAAGCCUGACGGAGCAGCGCCGCGUGAGUGAUGAAGGUCUUCGGAUCGUAAAACUCUGUUAUUAGGGAAGAACAUAUGUGUAAGUAACUGUGCACAUCUUGACGGUACCUAAUCAGAAAGCCACGGCUAACUACGUG